rnacentral:lncRNA from 1 species
UAUAACUCAGGUAGCUCUUGAGAAUAAGCAAUUAAAACAGAUUAGGGAAUGGCUUCUCGUCAUAGCUGUGAGCUAAGUAUCCAGAAACCAGGCUUCUCCUAGGCCCUGCUGUGAAAUAGAAAAAGUUGACACUGAGCUGGGGAGAGGGGUCCUUCCACACCCAAUUUCUGGCCCUUCUUCUUUCUGUUUCAUCUCUUUUCUGUUCUCAUGGACUCUCAAGUUAAAAUGAAUUAGGUUUGGUCACCCGAAGGAAUUGACAGCUGGUAACAGCGUAAUGUGUUAUCUCUCCCACUGGUAUUUGCACUUUGAUAGAAAAUAAUGCCUUAAUUCAAAAGAAUGAAUUGUUUGGGAAAGGCUAAAAGAGAUGAGGGGGUGGGGGAGGGCAGGUGCUCAGCCGCCCGUUGCUCGCUGGGCUAGCUCAAAGAAUUAGCUCAGAAAGGACCCAGACCAUCAAUUCUCAAAGCGCAGGCCCUGGAUGCCUCAGAGACCUUGAGAGCCUGUCAGCAGUUAUGCAAUCGCAGGCCCUCCAGGACCAAUUCAACAGACUCCAUCUCUUAUCAACAGAGUAAUUAAGAAUUGCCUUUGAGAAAAUCGGCAAAGUCACGUAGCCAGGGCAUGUGCAAAAGGAGAAAUCUUGACCUGAAAUGACCCCAGAACCCAAGAUUCUCCUUCCCACAGAACCCAAGGAAGGACAUGACUGGAACUUGAAAGUCAGACUCUUAUUGGAAGUGAGGGGUCCCUCAUUCAGGAAGAUCCAGUGUUGAAAUUCCUUCCUCACCUUGUCAAAAAUGUUUAGAACCCCAUCAUAGAAGUUUAGAACCUGUCACAAACGUUUAAAACCUUACCAUAAAUCCUUGGAGCCCACCGAACAAAACCUGCCCCAGCAGCAUUUCCACGUGCCAGCCUGUUCUCCCUAACCUCUCAAAUUUCACCCCAAAUCCUGAAUCAAGGAGACAGAUCUGAGGGCACAUGCCCCCUGUUCUCUCUGCAGAUCCAUCUCACAGAAUGAAGCUGAUUUCUUUUCCCAAAAGCAUAAUUAACUGUGUUUUUUCAUGCACGUCAGGCAGAGAACCCCAAUUUUGUGUGGUAACAGCUAUACGAGGCCAAACUACUUUCAUAAUAAUAUUAAAAUGUCAUUUGCCAUUUUCACUCUCAUUCUCUCACAAACACAUUGGAGUUUUCCAGAAGCUUCAUGCUGUAGAGUGUCACAACAGAUUGAAUGCAGAAACAGGAGAAUCCAGACAUCUAUGAAGUCACACAUUAAAGAGAUUUCCAAAUGUAAAACAAUCCUUCUUUUCUCAGUAAGCUUUUUUUGGUUUUUGAAUU